GGCGCUUUAGCUCAGUCGGUAGAGCAACGGACUGAAAAUCCGUGUGUCCCCGGUUCAAGUCCGGGAGGCGCCA
rnacentral:tRNA from 2 species